rnacentral:misc_RNA from 1 species
GUUCCGUAGGUGAACCUGCGGAAGGAUCAUUAUUGUAUAACCGAGGUGCGAGGGCUGUCGCUGACCCGAAAGGUCGUGCACGCCCGAGUGCCCUCACACACAUCCAUCUCACCCCUAUGUGCACCACCGCGUGGGUCCCCCUUUGGCUUGUUCGGAGGGGGGCUUACGUUUUCACACAAACUUUGUAUGCAGUGUAGAAUGUAUUUUUUUGUUUUUGCGAUCACGCAAUCAAUACAACUUUCAACAACGGAUCUCUUGGCUCUC